GCAGCGAUGUCCGAGUGAUUAAGGAGAUUGACUCGUAAUCAAUUGUGCUAUGCUAACGUAGGUUCGAAUCAUGCUCGCUGCG